rnacentral:rRNA from 1 species
UACGAAGGGGGCUAGCGUUGCUCGGAAUCACUGGGCGGAAAGGGUGCGUAGGCGGGUCUUUAAGUGAGGGGGGAAAUCCUGGAGCUCAACUCCAGAACUGCCUUUGAUACUGAGGAUCUUGAGUUCGGGAGAGGUGAGUGGAACUGCGAGUGUAGAGGUGAAAUUCGUAGAUAUUCGCAAGAACACCAGUGGCGAAGGCGGCUCACUGGCCCGAUACUGACGCUGAGGCACGAAAGCGUGGGGAGCAAACAGG